rnacentral:tRNA from 2 species
UCGCGGGGUGGAGCAGUUCGGUAGCUCGUCGGGCUCAUAACCCGAAGGUCGCAGGUUCAAAUCCUGCCCCCGCAAU